rnacentral:rRNA from 1 species
UACGGAGGGGGCUAGCGUUGUUCGGAAUUACUGGGCGUAAAGGGCACGUAGGCUGGCUGUUAAGUCGGUGGUGAAAUGCUGAGGCUCAACCUCAGAAUUGCCUUCGAUACUGACGGUCUUGAGUGCGGGAGAGGUGAGUGGAAUUCCGAGUGUAGAGGUGAAAUUCGUAGAUAUUCGGAAGAACACCAGUGGCGAAGGCGGCUCACUGGACUGGUAUUGACGCUGAGAUGCGAAAGCGUGGGGAGCAAACAGG